GAAGAGUAGUACGUUCUCUCGGUUUCUCUGCACCCUCGUUUAAAAAGUGAGCACGAAAAGGGACACUUGAAGCAUGGAGAGGACCUCGGCCUUUUAUUACACUGGCUGUGGAUAGGGGACAAGGGGAUGGGUGAAACGAAAGGACCCCUGAUUAUCCAUUCGUCCUGAAAGCCUUCACGUUUUCACCGACCCCUUUCUCUUCGGAAGAAGCAACCAGAAACAGAAGCAACAGCAAGAACAGCAGCAACGACGGCAACAGGCCAAAGGAUUCUCCCUAGACACCGACAGGAUGCACAUUCGAGCCACACCUAUGCAUCUUUAUGGGGUAUCAUUGGUCGCCAAACAAAUUAGUGAAUGCAAGCUCUCUAAUCACGUCCGAUGUUACUACGUGGCGGUACUGUUAAUUUAUGACGCGACGUUUACAGCGCCAUGCGUUGACUCGCGAUAAGUUCUCAGGAUAUUUCCAAGGUAAAAACGAGAGAUGCUUUUGCCUUUUGCUAAAGCAACUAUGAAGUUGACAGUCAGUUCCACUCGUAUUUCUAUAAUAAAAACGAUGAUAAAUGUUUUUGGAAAGUUAUGCGAUCGACCGAUAAAGAUUUUUACGAUGAAUAAAGGGAUAUAGAGAAAGAGAUAGAGAAAAGUUCUUUUCAGAGAGGUUCUAUGAAAAGUAGGAGUGCUUUAUCGUUAUACUUCAGCGAGAUUUAUUAUCGAAUAGAUGCUUUCAAAAAUUUAUAUCGAUAAACGUCGAAGCUUUCAAUCAGUUCGAGUUAUUUGCCAUUGAGAAAUCUAUGAAGAGACGAGAUAAGCAAACUACAGAUGCUUCCUGAAGUCUAUAAACCGCAGUUAGAAACGUAAUGCUCUGAUUUAAGCGUAUACACUAGAUCUACACUGUCUCGCGGUCGACUUUCACCGACUUAGUUUGCGAUAGUGAAUAAUUUCACCUUCGGAAAUUCAAGUGGAUAAAUUCGAGAUGAUCGAUGAGUAAAAGGGAUUAAAAGAACUAAAGGAAAAGAAGAAGAAAAAAAAAUAACUAGUGAUUUUUUUUUUCUUUGUUAUACAUAUAUCACGGUAUAUUUUUUAGGAAUGUACAGUGUUAGGUAGUAAUCUGAGAUGUUGCCGAGCAAGCAGCCUGCUGCGACUCGAUGUGGAUUCCAAGUAUGAAGUGAGAUAUAAGCCUCAGAUUUCUGCGUAAAUAUACAGAGUAUGCAUCUUAUCUCGCGAGAGGAACGAUAUAACAAAGUGUGAAGAUGCUGACGGUGCCAGGACCAACUUGGGUUCACGAGGAAAGAAAAUAACUAUGAUAGAUAUAUGUGUGUCACAUGCAAAUUAUAUAUUUACAUGCGAUCUUUAAACGAGCGAUUUAAAACGAGCCCAGUCGUCAGAAUUGAUAUUUGCCAAGCUAUCGACCAAUCAAGCAAUUUGUUUCUUCUCUCUAUUGGGCCCCGUUGAUUUCAUUGUAUUCAUCAAAUCAUCGCGUGACCGAUUUGCUCGUUCCUGUGGCUCGUGAUCUUCUCGUUAGAUGCCGCCAGGCAUUUUAUUGUAGAAGAAGUAGCAGGUGUUUGCGAUUUAUCAAAUGUAACAUGGAUAACGAUAUGUUUUCUUUUUUUUUCUUUUUUUUUGUUUUUUUUUUUUUUUUAUAGAUAGUUGUGGAUAAGUAAACACUUAUAAUUCAUCAAAAUCUGGUCUUAAUGUAAUUGGUGCGAUAACGAAGGAUCGCGGAAUAUAAUUUAAGUGGAUUCUCGGACACACAUUGGGAGUUUCUAGUUGGAACAGGGAGUGAAACUUGAGAUUAUAUGGUAGCAAAGGGCUGUCUGAUAUCUUCCUGAGAGUUUCGAUGAAUCGAAAUGGACCGAGGCCACGGAAAUUUGCAUAAUUCAAUUCCUGUCGACGGAAACUCGAAUUGACGAUCUUAUCGGGCUCUCUCGACUCCCUCUAUCUUUCUCUCUUUCUCUUUCUCUCUCUAUUUCUCGUACGUAUAUACAUACGAGAAGUCAGCGAUUAAAAUUCUCGCGAGAACGGAGCACUAUCGGUCAGCGAACGUACGAAGCUGCUCUCCUUGAUUUAACGAAGCUAAACGUGCCAUAAGCGAAGCGACAUGAAUGCGGAACGGCUUUCGAUAUUGAGUUUAAAGCCCGAACGAGUUUUGCUGCCGACUGGCACUAAUGUACGAUCAUUGUACUCGAACCGAAGCCAAAAGACUGCCACGUGUGCACCCUUCGUCAAACGCGACGCUUCGAAAACUGACUCACGAAGUUUACACCCCGUAGUCUGGGAGUUUCUAAAAGAAGGAGGAGAGAUAGUUUGCAUACGUAAUAAAGCAAGAUGGCAAAGGGUGGUCUCGAGCAACGUAGAAAAAUAUUACUUCGGAUAACAUUAAUAAUUUAAUAUAGAUCAUGCUCUAUUCGAUUAAAAAGGAACACCCAAAGGUAUAACAUUGCUUUCAAUUCGAUCUCGAUAUAAAAAUAACUAUAAAUGUGUUAUUUAUUAUCCAAUGCUCGAUUAGCAACGAGUUUACUUUGGCUUCGCCUUUCGGAACUAUUAUUAUAACAUUAUUCUUCAUUCGGCCGAGGGUUUAUCGACAUGGCGCGCGCACGUUCGCGCGCUCUCGUGUGCCUAUAAGAUAUGAAGUUAAUAUCAUAAAGUAGAAGGUAGAAGCAAGAGGAGGAUGUGUAUAUCUACAUCUAUAUACGUAGUAACGUCAUAGAAAAGAGGACGGUGGUCCCUUGUCAAAAUAUUAGCUUAGGAACGACCCACGCAAUGAUUUAAGAUACGUGUUCCACACAGGUAUCUUUCCACUUUGGUCAGGACACCUUUCGCUUCGAGGAUAUUACAUCGAUCCCGUGUACGUAUCCAAGCACAAUGAUAUAAGUGUUCGUUUGAAGCGUACCAGGAAUGUAGAUCGAUAUAUUUUCUCCUCAUCGUAAUGGAAUUCGGUAGGCGGUCUGACGUGGGUAUUAAAUUCCAUCGGGAUUAGAAUUUUCUAUGAGUUCGAUAUUUCGAUGGAUCAUUGUUGCUAUGGAACAUCAUUAAUUAAUACGUAAUUUAAUAAUCUUAAUAAUAAGAUCGUAAUUCGAUCAGAGAGAUUGUAAUUGUGUUUGAGAAUAAGUAGAAAAAAAAAAUAAAUAAAUAAAUAAAAAAGAAAAAGAAGAAGAAGAAAAAAAAGAAAUUUCGUCGUUUUUAUCAUUCGCAAUAAAUCUCCAUUAAACUUUGUAGAAAAUUCGUUCUCUCUGGUGUCAUCUCUCACGAGUUGUGGUAUCAACGUAGCAACGUUCGUAUAAUGCGUCCAUUGUCAAGAGAAUAUGUGGGUGAACGCGUAUGCCCCGUAAAUACUCGCGUACUUGUACCAACGUGGAUGAUGCACCUGUGCAAAUAUUUUCAUGCGACAAUGCAUCAGCAACGCUGAUGUCGUCGUUUGAUGCAAGAGUCGCAACAUCGGCAGAAACGGAAUCACGAGUCUUCCCUUCUAUCUCCUCGUGAUCGUACCACAUCUGCAUAUAUGUACAUAACUGUGUACAUAGAUAUACAUAGAUAUACAUACGCAUCUAUAUAUAUACAGAUAUGAAAUAUAUGAAUGAGAAAACGGCAAAGGGGUGAACGGGUAUAGUUCCAAACGAUUUACAAGCGUACCGUUGUUAACCAAAACAAGGGAAUACCCUUCCCGAUAUUCCCAUUAAGCAUCAUCGGUUUCGAAAUCAAAUUAUAUUCCGUAUCUAUAGUGCAUUUCAUAUUUUCUCCGCUAUCGAUUAUCUCAGAAUCGAUUCGUUAUACCUACGUAGAUAUUAUUUAUCGUGGACCAUUUAAUCCAUAAUAUUUAUCAUC